GUAGGGGUUAGAGAGUGCAGAGACAGGUCAUUAAGGAGAGGGUAGGGGUUAGACAGUACAGAGACAGGUCAUUAAGGAGCAGGUAGGGGUUAGACAGUACAGAGACGGGUCAUUAAGGAGCAGGUAGGGGUUAGACAGUACAGAGACAGAUCAUUAAGGAGCAGGUAGGGGUUAGACAGUACAGAGACAGGUCAUUAAGGAGCAGGUAGGGGUUAGACAGUACAGAGACAGAUCACUAAGGAGCAGGUAGGGGUUAGACAGUACAGAGACAGGUCAUUAAGGAGCAGGUAGGGGUUGGACAGUACAGAGACAGGUCAUUAAGGAGCAGGAAGGGGUUAGACAGUACAGAGACAGGUCACUAGGGAGCAGGUAGGGGUUAGACAGUCCAGAGACAGGUCAUUAAGGAGCAGGUAGGGGUUAGACAGUCCAGAGACAGGUCAUUAAGGAGCAGGUAGGGGUUAGACAGUACAGAGACAGGUCAUUAAGGAGCAGGUAGGGGUUAGACAGUACAGAGACAGGUCAUUAAGGAGCAGGUAGGGGUGAGACAGUACAGAGACAGGUCAUUAAGGAGCAGGUAGGGGUUAGACAGUACAGAGACGGUUCAUUGAGGAGCAGGUAGGGGUUAGACAGUACAGAGACGGGUCAUUAAGGAGCAGGUAGGGGUUAGACAGUACAGAGACGGGUCAUUAAGUAGCAGCUAGGGGUUAGACAGUACAGAGACAGGUCAUUAAGGAGCAGGUAGGGGUUAGACAGUACAGAGACAGGUCAUUAAGGAGCAGGUAGGGGUUAGACAGUACAGACAGGUCAUUAAGGAGCAGGUAGGGGUGAGACAGUAGAGACAGGUCAUUAAGUAGCAGCUAGGGGUUAGACAGUACAGAGACAGGUCAUUAAGGAGGGGGUAGGGGUUAGACAGUACAGAGACGGUUCAUUGAGGAGCAGGUAGGGGUUAGACAGUACAGAGACAGGUCAUUAAGGAGCAGGAAGGGGUUUGACAGUACAGACAGGACAUUAAGGAGCAGGUAGGGGU
ensembl:lncRNA